CCUACGGGAGGCAGCAGUGGGGAAUAUUGCGCAAUGGGCGAAAGCCUGACGCAGCGACGCCGCGUGAGGGAUGAAGGUCUUCGGAUCGUAAACCUCUGUCAGCAGGGAAGAACGGUCACUGUGCUAAUCAGCAGUGAAUUGACGGUACCUACAAAGGAAGCACCGGCUAACUCCGUGCCAGCAGCCGCGGUAAUACGGAGGGUGCGAGCGUUAAUCGGAAUUACUGGGCGUAAAGCGCUCGUAGGCGGUAUGUCAAGUCAAGGGGGAAAUCCCCGCGCUCAACGUGGGAUCUGCCUUUGAAACUGGCAAACUGGAGUGUGUGAGAGGAUAGUGGAAUUCCAGGUGUAGGAGUGAAAUCCGUAGAUAUCUGGAGGAACAUCAGUGGCGAAGGCGACUAUCUGGCACAUAACUGACGCUGAGGAGCGAAAGCGUGGGUAGCAAACAGGAUUAGAUACCCGAGUAGUC
rnacentral:rRNA from 1 species